AAUGCUUAACACAUGCAAGUCGACUCGAGUCUUCGGACUUGGGUGGCGCACGGGUGAGUAACGCGUAAAGAACUUGCCUCUUAGACCGGGACAACAUCUGGAAACGGAUGCUAAUACCGGAUAUUAUGGUUUUUUCGCAUGGAGGAAUCAUGAAAGCUGGAUGCGCUAAGAGAGAGCUUUGCGUCCCAUUAGCUAGUUGGUGAGGUAACGGCCCACCAAGGCAAUGAUGGGUAGCCGGCCUGAGAGGGUGAACGGCCACAAGGGGACUGAGACACGGCCCUUACUCCUACGGGAGGCAGCAGUGGGGAAUAUUGGACAAUGGACCGCAAGUCUGAUCCAGCAAUUCUGUGUGCACGAUGACGUUUUUCGGAAUGUAAAGUGCUUUCAGUCGGGAAGAAGUCAGUGACGGUACCGACAGAAGAAGCGACGGCUAAAUACGUGCCAGCAGCCGCGGUAAUACGUAUGUCGCAAGCGUUAUCCGGAUUUAUUGGGCGUAAAGCGCGUCUAGGCGGCAAGGAAAGUCUGAUGUGAAAAUGCGGAGCUCAACUCCGUAUGGCGUUGGAAACUGCCUUACUAGAGUACUGGAGAGGUAGGCGGAACUACAAGUGUAGAGGUGAAAUUCGUAGAUAUUUGUAGGAAUGCCGAUGGGGAAGCCAGCCUACUGGACAGAUACUGACGCUAAAGCGCGAAAGCGUGGGUAGCAAACAGG
rnacentral:rRNA from 1 species